CAAGACCGGUGCCAGCCGCCGCGGUAAUACCGGCAGCCCAAGUGAUGACCGAUAUUAUUGGGCCUAAAGCGUCCGUAGCCGGCCACGAAGGUUCAUCGGGAAAUCCGCCAGCUUAACUGGCGGGCGUCCGGUGAAAACCACGUGGCUUGGGACCGGAAGGCUCGAGGGGUACGUCCGGGGUAGGAGUGAAAUCCCGUAAUCCUGGACGGACCACCGAUGGCGAAAGCACCUCGAGAAGACGGAUCCGACGGUGAGGGACGAAAGCUAGGGUCUCGAACCGGAUUAGAUACCCGGGUAGUCCUAGCUGUAAACGAUGCUCGCUAGGUGUGGCACAGGCUACGAGCCUGUGCUGUGCCGUAGGGAAGCCGAGAAGCGAGCCGCCUGGGAAGUACGUCCGC
rnacentral:rRNA from 1 species